AGAGUUUGAUCAUGGCUCAGGACGAACGCUGGCGGCGUGCCUAAUACAUGCAAGUAGAACGCUGAAGUCUGGUGCUUGCACCGGAUGGAUGAGUUGCGAACGGGUGAGUAACGCGUAGGUAACCUACCUCAUAGCGGGGGAUAACUAUUGGAAACGAUAGCUAAUACCGCAUAACAGUCUUUAACUCAUGUUAGAGUCUUGAAAGGGGCAAUUGCUUCACUAUGAGAUGGACCUGCGUUGUAUUAGCUAGUUGGUAAGGUAACGGCUCACCAAGGCGACGAUACAUAGCCGACCUGAGAGGGUGAUCGGCCACACUGGGACUGAGACACGGCCCAGACUCCUACGGGAGGCAGCAGUAGGGAAUCUUCGGCAAUGGGGGCAACCCUGACCGAGCAACGCCGCGUGAGUGAAGAAGGUUUUCGGAUCGUAAAGCUCUGUUGUAAGAGAAGAACGUGUGUGAGAGUGGAAAGUUCACACAGUGACGGUAUCUUACCAGAAAGGGACGGCUAACUACGUGCCAGCAGCCGCGGUAAUACGUAGGUCCCGAGCGUUGUCCGGAUUUAUUGGGCGUAAAGCGAGCGCAGGCGGUUUGAUAAGUCUGAAGUUAAAGGCUGUGGCUCAACCAUAGUACGCUUUGGAAACUGUCAAACUUGAGUGCAGAAGGGGAGAGUGGAAUUCCAUGUGUAGCGGUGAAAUGCGUAGAUAUAUGGAGGAACACCGGUGGCGAAAGCGGCUCUCUGGUCUGUAACUGACGCUGAGGCUCGAAAGCGUGGGUAGCGAACAGGAUUAGAUACCCUGGUAGUCCACGCCGUAAACGAUGAGUGCUAGGUGUUAGGCCCUUUCCGGGGCUUAGUGCCGCAGCU
rnacentral:rRNA from 1 species